GAGCGAUCUGGCAACCAGAUAUAUAGGAGAUUAUCAGGAGAACGAUGGGUAAAAAUUUCUCAAAGUUUGCCCUCAGUUUUUUAAAAUGCGCGUCAAAAGAGAACAAGCACAGUGUGACAUAAUUUGUUGGAUGGAAGAGGGAAGCAAAAGUAAAAGAUCGUGAAAAAGAAGAAAUAAAAAAAAAAAAAGAGAGAAAUAUUCGCAAGGACGUACAACAACAAGAGUAUAAUACGGAAAAUAUUAUUGGCCGAGUAAAAUUGAAUCGCGUGAAACAAUUAUACGCAGUUGAACGGAUUCCACGAUAAGAAUCGUUUUAAAAGAUUUUAUCGCUAUUGCAACAUGCCUGUCCGGCAAGGUAUUAAGGAGCGCCAAUAGAACGAUUCCACGAAAGUUUCCACUUAUCUUCGCUCGCGCGUUGCUGAUACAUCUGGUAGCGCAUCGAAAGAUAUUCCGCAGAUAGAGGAGAAAACGAGCAGAGUAACGAAGAACGUCAGGGAUCAGGAGUAAGUUGGAGGAGUUGAAUCUCACUUCGAUUCAAAGCGUAGAGACCACUUCUCCACUUGAACCAUGACCCCCCCUCCCCCUUUUCUCUUCUCUUCUCUUCUCUUCUCUUCUUUUAAUCGUCAUUCAGUCUCUCGGUUUCAAAUUUUCAUGUACAGAGAUUCCAGAAAGAAACCAAAAGAAAAACAAAGAAAGAAAGAUGAUAAUCAACAAGACUUUGAGCUGGAAGAGUUAGAUCUGGCAAGUUAUCAGAGCGUUUACUGCUCACUGUCUAGAUCCUCACUUCCAACUGCAAGUCAUGCAGAUCACAGCACACCAUGCAACGGCCCAUGCAGUGUUUCAACGACGACGAAGCGAAUAGACCUCUCUCUCUCUCUCUUUCUCGUCAGCUCGGUUGAAGAUGAUCUCUUUCAAUGAUCUCUCGAUAGGAUUCGUAACCUUUACUGGAAAGAAGAACCUCCUCCCUCCUUUUUAUUCGCCGGUUGGCGCACUUGGCCCUCUCGAUGGAAGAAUAUUUCAUUUUUCCAGCGACACUUCAAAGAAAAGAGAGGCUCAGUAUGUCGUCAUAAGCAGAGAGAAGAAAGUUACGAAAAUUAACUGUUAACAAAAUUAUCAACAUGCUCGUAUCGUUCACGCCUGUGAAUUAUUACUUUAAUUUUGUUUUACUUUCCUGCUGAAUUCGAAUUUCGAUGAUGGAAAUUUCUCUCGCCCGAUGAAUCUGAAGUCGGGAUUAGAGAUACUUACGCAGCAUCACGACUUUUACUCGAAAGGUAAAUCCAAUUUUCAAUACGGCGCGUCAUGCAUCUGCAACAUUUUUUUUUUUCUUUUUUUAGCCAAUUGUGAAACAAGCACGUAGUCGUAGUUUCACAGUCUUUCAGAGCUUCUUCUCGAUAUUUUUUGUGAUACUGGACUGAAACGUUACCUGACCGUUACCCCACAGCAAUGGAACGAAACGAGAAUCAAGUAUGUACUGGGUAGUUGAUGAAAAUUAUUUCGAAGAAAAUCAGUCACUUGUCAAUUUUUCACCGACACUUCGUGAGCCUUCCAGAAGAAGAAGAAGAAGAAGAAGAAGAUGAUGAUGAUGAAGAAGAAGAAGAAGAUGCAAUUGUAGGCUAUUUCGUAGACAAAUACUGAAAUUCUCUUUAUCACUCUUUAAACGUUCCACUCACAUGAAACCGCGAUGAUGUUCUCUCUCUUUCGUGGAUGUACGAUAUGAUACGAACGGAAUGAUUCGUUUGGGAAACCUCUUACGUAAAAAAAAGUAAUCAGAACACUAAUAAACAGUCGGCUACGUGUUGGGCUUUAUAUAUACCUGAGCCAACUGAUAGAAAAAUCUUGUUCCGAGUACCCUCAUCGAUAUCGGGGCCCCACCUCGGCAGUGAUAACGACACGCAGUUGAUAGACAACUUUAUACACAUAUUCCCACUUAUUUUUCGGUCGGGAAACCAUUGAUUUACCAAUUUUCUUCGACUAGCACCAUUCACACCGCACAAAACUGGACAACGUCUCGCCAUCAAAACCCGGUGGAAUUCCUCUGUUUUAAUUUCAAUUGCAAACACCUCUCGUUCGUUUGAAAUGAAUUUCUCAGUUUUAAAAAGUAAUUAAGGAAACAGCGGCACGUAGAAAAGUAUCAAGAUGAAAUCAGACGAGUUAUUUCGAAAUUUUAUUCGAAAUCGUUCGAACGAAAUUUCUGUGAAAAAAAAAAAAAAAAAAGGUGGAAUAAGACCACGAAUUAUGACCAUUAAUGUUUAUCGAAAAGAUUUAUAAAACGAUAGUAUCUUUUUUCCUAUCCGUCAUUUGUCAAUAUAUGUUUGAAAAAAUAUUUAUCUUGUUAUUGAGCAUAUGAUGUCAUACGUCGUUUUCAAUAAGAUUGGCAAAAUUUUGUAUUUUCGACGUAUUACUCCUGUAAUUUGGAAGACAGAAUGUUCGUCGUAUACCGAGGAACAGUUUUACCAUCUCACAAAAUGCCACUUAAUGUAACUUAAAAGCUAGGUAUCUACGUGUAUAUCUAUGUUCAUACCUUGCAUUUCAUAUUUUAAUGCUGAGAAACACUUGACGAAUAAAUACAAUAUAUCUAUAAACAUUGAACACUGAAGGAAUGGUAAAGGAUGUUAAAUUGAAGGAUAGGCAGGAAUGGUAAAGGACGUUUGAAGAUAUAAAUUGAUGAUAUAAGAGGCAGAAUCAGGGAAAAUAAUACAACAAAAUAAUAUAAGCGCAAGUAGAAAUAUAGAAAGAUAAUGGACGAGCCAAAAUGUAUCGAUAAAAUGCACCUUGAAAUUUGGUCUUUCGGUGAUUAAUAAUCACUUUUAGAUAAAUUUUAUCUCACGUAUCAAGCAUAUACAAGAAAGAAAUUGUACUUUUUACUUUUAUUACAGAUAAGGCAAGGAAUUGGAUCGCGCAAUUUUAUAAGAAGAUACAACGUAGCUAGGAUUCGUUGUAUUAACUUCGUUCGACACUUCAGAUGUGAAGAAAAUAUAGUUUCAUAUCGACGAAUUGUGUAAAACGAUUUUGCAUCAAAAAACCGAUCCAAUGGGAUCUGACUUCAAUCGCAAAUAGA